GGCCCAGUAGCCGGCGUUGGCGGCGGCGGCGACGAUGGCCGGGUCGACGGUGGUGGGGGUCAUGCCGGCGAGCAUGACGGCGCUGCGGCC
rnacentral:tRNA from 1 species